UUCCCUUGGCCACCACCAACUGGAAAGGAAGGAGGGGGACGUCAUGCGGCAGCAUGCUGUGAGUGCUGUGAAUGCUCUAUAACCGUAUGGGAGCCAAUCCUGUCUGUGUUUUGUCCACAUCCAAAAUUCCUGCUGAAUGACCCACCCUGGGAGCGAGUUACCAGUGACCCAGGGCCACGGCGGAAAGAAGAGCUUCAUGGAAAGGAAACAGCAAUGGUCUCAUCUCCUCCCUUCCAUGUCCCACCACCUCUGAGGCAAUGUAUGCUCCUAUGGGCACAGUGAGGAAGCAGCCCCUACACAACCCCAAAUGCCAGGAUGGUGCAUGUGACUGGCAUUUGAAUGAGAUGCACAAGGAUUGGGUGCUACUUGUGUUCUCUCUUCAAGGCAAGUGCUCAAAGACCAGCCACAAGCUCGGCCUAGGUUGUAAAGUGAAGCACUUAAAAGUCAAGAAAUGCUAAAAUUAAGUGUCAAAACAACCUUAACUCUGCCCUCUUUUGCAUAUGAAAUGCAAUAUGGGUCUGAUCCUCCACAGAUGUAAAUGGAUGUAUUGAUUCCCAAAUAGUUAGACCAAAUUACUGAGGAUCAAGGCUAUAGUCUUUAUAUGGUCACAAACAAUUAUUGUCUGAGUACUUCUGACUUAUAGGGUGCACAGGUUGGACAGUGCUCAGUGAAUGAGGUUGCUGUUCACUAUUUAUUAUCAUCCAGUGAGUACACUCUUAUCUUUUUUACUACACUAUCUCACCCAUCAGGCCUCCUCUAGACUUUCACUCCAACUUGAUGGCAUAAAAUGGUAUCUUUGCCAAUGUUUGUAUUUAAAAAUUGUUGUCCAGAUAUUAUGCCCAAACCUGGAAAUAUAAUCUGA